UGAUUCUCUAUUUUUGAUGAUUUGAUGCAUGACUAAUUUAAUUGACAAUAUUUCCAUGUUUCAUUCUUUUAUCUCUACAUUUACUCCUGCCUGCUUAUUUCAUUAUCAGUGCCAUUUCAUCUUCCCAGUGAUUAAUAUAAUUUACCUAAGCAUAUGUAUACAUAACUACUUCUUGCUGUGUAUAUGAGGAUUUGAUCAUAAGGAAAUAUCUUUAAAGAUUUAUGUUUGGUAUAGAAAAACCUACCAGGGAGAAUAGCAAAAGACAAGGUUGAUUUCAUCUCUAUCCUCAUGCUUAAUUGCCUGUAUUUUUAAAACUACAAAUGCGGCUUAUAUCUAUGAUAUUUUCCCUUCACAAUUGACAUGCCAUCUUGUGGUAAUGUGGGAAUAAUCUUCUUUGGUUAUGCAUGUUGUUAGAUUAUUUUGUGCAACUCCCUUAUCCUAUAUAGAAGACACAUGUUUACAGAAGACAUCUCUUCCUCUGAAUCAUUUAUAUUUUCUAAUGUCAUUUUGCAAUGCUUUCAGUGUUAGCUUAAUGAUUAAUAUUUUAGAUUCAUAAAUUUGGGUUGGACACACCACUAUUAGUUGUUCUUUGCAUUUUGAAUAGUGGUGCAAUCCUAUAAUUUUCUCUGUCUGGUGCAGAAUGAAGCUACUUUCCUGAUGGUGACAGCUAUAAGUUUCUAUAGUUUAAAGAAAUAUAUAUACAUAUAUAUGUGUGUAUGUGUAUGUGUAUGUAUAUGUAUGUAUGUAUAUAUAUAUACUGAGUCAGGAAACUGGCUGAGCUAAGUUCUCCUCUAGAUUCCAUUAUUUCUGCAGCCACAGGUUUUGGCUUAGGUUUUAUUAUUGAACAUGAUUCUCUCCUUGAUGAUUUAAUAAGUAUCAAUAAAUCACCAGAGACAUCAUAAUUUCUUCAUUUGUGGUUUUAUAAUGCCCAGGCAUCAUGGUAUGAGGAAGGAGAGACCUGGGUGGAAAUGGGGGGGGCAGGGAGGGGAAGAGAGGAACAUGAUUAGUUAUUAGGGGGGGACAUGAAUGAAAGCAGACAACUUUGGCAGGUAGGAGGUGGGGGACGCUUUUUAAUGUACCAGAGACCUAGGAAGUGAUAGACUCUCGGGUCUCAAAGGGAGGGUUAGAUAAAAUAACAUACAGGAGACAGAAAGAAAUGUAGAGUCCCCUCUAGUAAAAGAUAGAACAUCAAGUGGAGGGAGAGAGUUGCUAUUCCAUAGUCUAAAACUCUGACCCAGAAUUAUUCCUGUAUAAAGAAAUGCAGGGAUAAAAAUGGAGAAUGACUGAGGGAAAGAAGGUCCUGUGACAGACCCAAAUUUGGAUCCAGCUCAAGGGGAGGCCCAAGGCCUGACACUAUUACUGAUACUUUGGUUUUCUUACAAACAGGAGCCUAGCAUGUCUGCCUUCAGAAAGCCCCAAAAAAGCCGCUGAAAGAGUCAGAUGAAUAUAUUUCCACCCAAGCAAUGGACAGAAGAUAGUGACCCCAGUGGUUGACUGUGCCAAAGCUGGAAGAAGCUGAUGAGAAGGGCAACCUUAUAGGAAGACAAGCAGUUUCAACUUACUUUGAUCCCUGUGGUCUCUCAGACAUUGUGCCACCAAUUAGGAAGCAUACCAGGUUGUUCUUGCUGUCCUAUUCACUGAGUUCUCCAACUCAUCCUUGAAACCACGCCUCCUCUGAGCUUCAUGAGAAACUCACAGUACAGAGGCAGAGCACCACAUUCAGCUGAGGAAACUAACAUGACUAUCCUCCAGAAGCCCCCAAAAGCAGCUGAAAGUGUCAGAUGAUGAUAUUUCCAGCCAAGCAAUGGACAGAAGAUAGUGACCCCAGUGGUUGAAUUUUCAAAAGCUGGAAAAAGCUUAUGAAGAAGGCAACCCUAUAGGAAGACCAGCAGUCUCAACUAUCCUGGACACAUGAGAUCUCUCAGACACUGUGCCACCAACCAGGCUGUAUAUACCAGCUGAUAUGAGGUUCCCAAGACAUAUACAGCAAGAAUUCCUGGUCUGCACUAAAAAACAUGUUCCUCCAGCUGAAGUCACUGCUCCUGCUUUAAGAUACAUUGUCCCUGUCACAGUUUUGGAUCAUUCAUCAUUUUCAAAGAAAAGGAUAUACUUCAGGAACCAGUAUCUGACAAAACGAGGAGUCUUGCUGUCCUGUUCACUGAGUUCUCCAACUCAUCCCUGAAACCACGCCUCCUCUCAGCUUCAUGAGAAACUCACAGUACAGAGGCAGAGCACCACAUUCAGCUGAUGAGUAACAUUAAUCCCGCAACAUGGCUGCUCUGGCAAGGGAUCAUAUCCAGAGACUUUUUAGGACUAUAUGAUCCAGCUGGACUGCAGAAAACCUUUAAUAUACACCUUUAAUCCCUAACAAUGAAGGAAUGAAAAUAAAGAACAAAUAAAUGAA
rnacentral:lncRNA from 1 species